ensembl:lncRNA
CUUGCCCAUCCCCCAAGGUUCUGCCCAACAAUACCCUUUCUAAAAGUGGGGGGAGGGUCUAUCAGCCUCCCUUCCUUCUUGCUCUGCCACAAAACAACCACUGCCUGAUGUGGACCAGUGUACAAAAAUGUGUGUCUGGCAUAAGUUACUUUGCAUUGAUUUGACAGACACUAUGACCAAAAGCAACAAGGAGCACAAAUGAUUUAAUGUGGCUCCUAUAUCCUGACCAUUGUCAAGAUUUAAUGUGGCUCCUAUUUCCUGACCAUUGUCCAUCUAUGACGAGAAGUCAAGGCAGAAACUCAGACGAGGCAUGAUCCUGUAGGCAGGGAGUGAAAGAGAGCUGGCAGAGUGGCAGAGGAGAGCUGCUGACUGGCAUGCUGACCUGACUUUCCUGCACAGAUAAUGAUGCCUUCUAAUCGCACAUCUCCAGAUGGGACACCAUGCUCCCAUUGUAGUGACUGAUGAAGAAAAUCCCUUUAUACCUUCCUAUAGGAUAUUAAUACAGGAGUUAACUCAGUAACAUUUUCCUCCAUUCAGAUUUCUUGUGCUAUUGAUGUUGACCAGUUGACUAUCGCACAUGAGCACCAUACAAAUAAAAAGUGCAGUGCUACGGUCAAGUGAAAUGUCAUCAGAGACAGAAAAUGACCUAGAAUGUCUAAGCAUUAGAUGCAGCUGGCUGUUCCUCUUAUCUUGCUGUUUUAAGAUCUAUUUGAAGCAGAAGAGAGGGCCUGCAGGUGUGGAGGACUGCAGGCUGGAAUUCAGUGUUCACUAGGUGGAGGGGAUCUGUCUGUCACAGUUCUGAGAAGAAGCUUAUGGCUCUGACCUUCCCACUCUAGAGAGCCAUAAUCAGAGACAGGUCCUGACUGGAACUCACUCCUGUCAGUGAAAUGGUCACUAACCAGCCUUUUGGUGGGCAUGGAGAAAAAGAAUUGUUCAGAAAACGUCCACCAUAAUGUUCUGCCCUGGAUAUUUAUAGCCGGAAGACUGCUCCCCUACAGAGAGUACUCCUACCAAGACUAGCUAAACCUGUCUGCCUGAUACAGCCGCAACCCAUAAACCAUGCUACCUUGAUCUAUGUAUAAUAGCCCAGUCCUUGUUCAGCUGAAUGCAGUCACCCCACCUCUCUUCAACUCUAUACUAAACACACUGAGCUUCCAGGGUGCUGAGGUUUCUCCAGCAGUGAGUCUGGACCACAUUAUCCCAGCUUUCUGUCCAUAUGCCUGUCUGUCUGUCUUCCGUCCUUCACCAUUCUUGUCAAGUCUAAGUCCCCAAACCAUGCAAGGACUUGGCAGUGAGCAAUGCAAAGGAGACAGACAGAGCACCACAGAAAAUAUAUGUGCACCAAGGUUUCUCCAGAGAGACGGUCUAUGUUGGCAAGUAAGAAAGCCCGGCUAUUUUUCUGGGAAAUAUCACAGAGAUUCCUGUUAAAUGUCCACAAGACUGGUCGCGUUAAAUACCGAGAAAGAUUCGGGGCAGGCUGGAUGAAGUUAGAGAUAAGGAAACGAUAAAAAUGCUAAGAAUGUCCUGUCUGCUGAUUAAAGAUGAGGAACUAUUGCUGUCUCCGUGGAUUUGGAAUGACUUCCAAGAGAUACUGUUCAGUAAAAAGGGCAAAAGGGAAGAGCAUUUUGCAUGAACCAGUGCUCUGCUGGAGAAUCAGAGCUAGAGACUUCUGGAAGGACUUUGGG